rnacentral:rRNA from 1 species
GAGUUUGAUCAUGGCUCAGGAUUAACGCUAGCGGCAUGCCUAAUACAUGCAAGUCGAACGAAAGUAGCAAUACUUUAGUGGCGAACGGGUGAGUAACACGUAUCUAACCUACCAUUUAGUGAGGAAUAACUGUUGGAAACAACAGCUAAUACCGCAUAUGUUAUUUAUUUGCAAUGAUAAAUAAUGAAAGGAGCAUUUGCUUCGCUAAUUGAUGGGGAUGCGGCGCAUUAACUAGUUGGUAAGGUAAUGGCUUACCAAGGUAACGAUGCGUAGCCGAUCUGAGAGGAUGAACGGCCACAUUGGGACUGAGACACGGCCCAAACUUCUACGGAAGGCAGCAGUAGGGAAUUUUUCACAAUGGGCGAAAGCCUGAUGGAGCAAUGCCGCGUGACUGAUGAAGGUCUUCGGAUUGUAAAGGUCUGUUGUAAGAGAAGAAGUGCUAGAAUAGGAAAUAAUUUUAGUAUCGACCAUACCUUACCAGAAAGCCACGGCUAAAAAA